rnacentral:lncRNA from 1 species
CUUCAUAUCGUCUCUGACUCCAGGACAGCAGAGCAAUGCUUGAGGUGCUCACGUCAUAUCCAGCAUGUGCCAACUCUCUGAUGCGAGUUUUUAAAAUCCCACCGUUUUGAAAGACUUUCAGGAGUGCGUGUUAUGGCUCGUGGAUAUCUUGAUAUGAUGCUACCAAUCACUUUGUCACUUGCUCUUUGAAUAGAAGGAACAUCUUCAGCUCCUGCUCAUUCGUAAAACUCCAGGCUGUCCUCUGCCAUGUCGAGAUCAACUGGCAUUGAUGAGGGUGGUAAAGACUGUGAUCUCUUAGCUCUCUCCUCCUGUGGCCAUACCUCCCUGUCCCAUGUCUUCUUGUCAUGUUGGAUUCUUACUCUCUACAAUGGACUGAGAGCAUGCCAGGGAACUCACUGAACAUAGCCUUCCAGAGAAACUCUUGAACAUACCUAUGAGAAUAUGCAUCCAACGAGGUCCAAGGCAACUUCCUUUGUAAUAACAAAACAAAAGGAAAAUAAACGCAAAUGUUCAUGAAAAACAGAUUGGAAGAGGCCAAAUAUAAAGGUGGAAGUCAAGAGGUGAACUGAGAGAUGUAAACUGGCCUAGUCCACUGAGAAGAUCAAAGAGAAGAAAUUGAAGAGAUCAAAGCAAAAGAAGCAUAAAGAAGGAAAAAGAAAAGAAGCGGGCACCUCUGUGCGGCAGAUGAUCAUCCUGCAGACACGUGCUGGAAUCAUUUGAGAAGAGAUACUCUCAAUUGAGAAAAUGCUUCUAUAAGAUUGGCCUCUAGUUCUUGGCUUCAGGUUCCUGCCUUGAGUUCCUGUCCUGACAUCAGUGAUGGAGUAUGAACUGAGAGUUAUAAAAUAACCCCUUUCUUCAGAAGUUACUGUGAACUAAGGCAGUAACAGGCCCCACUUUAGGCCAAACCCAUUUUAUGAAAAUUUGAAGAUAAAGGAGAAGGAGGUCAUGUCAUUACUACACAACUUACAGUUGGAGAACACUGAGAUCCCUCCAAGUUUCCAGGAGCUCAAGAAGGAAAUUAACUUCUAUUGGUCUCAGAAGCUGCAAGAGAGCUGGAAUUGGACACAUUCCAGGAAGACAGCAUCUUGAAGAAUGAGUUGCUUUCUCAGGAGUGCCCGCUGACCAACAGCCACAGCAUUUUUUGGAUGAAUAUUCUUCCUCUUAGUUAAUUUCAUCAGUGUUUAGAGACCAUAACCUUAGGGUUGUCAAAUAUAGGGACAAUUUGAUAUAUUGGUUUAUCCUUUAAUAAUUAAUCAAUGUCCUAUAAUCUAAAUCCUCUUUUAUGUCUCAAACAUCACCAUGUCAGUUAUAAUUAUCUUAAAUAUAGCAGUUUU